UACGAAGGGUGCAAGCGUUACUCGGAAUUACUGGGCGUAAAGCGUGCGCAGGCGGUGAGCUGUGUCCGAUGUGAAAGCCCCGGGCUUAACCUGGGAAUGGCAUUGGAAACUGGCUCGCUGGAGUGUGGCAGAGGGGGGUGGAAUUCCGCGUGUAGCAGUGAAAUGCGUAGAGAUGCGGAGGAACACCGAUGGCGAAGGCAGCCCCCCUGGGCUAACACUGACGCUCAGGCACGAAAGCGUGGGGAGCAAACAGG
rnacentral:rRNA from 1 species